GAUGCCGAAGUUAUGGAUGCAUCCUUCGGGAUGCGUGGUAGGAGAGCGUUCUAAGGGCGGUGAAGGCAAAUCGUGAGGAUUGCUGGAGCGCUUAGAAGUGAGAAUGCCGGUAUGAGUAGCGAGACACGGGUGAGAAUCCCGUGCACCGAAUGACUAAGGUUUCCAGGGGAAGGCUCGUCCGCCCUGGGUUAGUCGGGACCUAAGUCGAGGCCGAAAGGCGUAGACGAUGGAUAGCAGGUAGAGAUUCCUGCACUAGUGUUAUUUGUUUGAGCGAAGGAAGGACACAGGAGGCUAUGGCAAGCGCGCUGAUGGAUAUGCGCGUCCAAGCAAUGAGUCUGAGGAGGAGUUAAAUGCUUCUUCUCACACGGACAAGUUGUGAUGGGGAGGGAAGUUUAGUACCGAAGUGCCAGACGUCACACUGUCAAGAAAAGUUCCUAGUGAGAAUAACACUACCCGUACCGCAAUCCGACACAGGUAGUCGAGGAGAGUAUCCUAAGGUGAGCGAGAGAACUCUCGUUAAGGAACUCGGCAACAUGACCCCGUAACUUAGGGAGAAGGGGUGCUGACAAUGUCAGCCGCAGUGAAUAGGCCCAGGCGACUGUUUAUCAAAAACACAGGUCUCUGCUAACUCGAAAGAGGAUGUAUAGGGGCUGACACCUGCCCGGUGCUGGAAGGUUAAGUGGACGCGUUAGCCGCAAGGCGAAGCGCUGAAAUGAAGCCCCAGUAAACGGCGGCCGUAACUAUAACGGUCCUAAGGUAGCGAAAUUCCUUGUCGGGUAAGUUCCGACCUGCACGAAUGGCGUAACGAUGGCGGCGCUGUCUCCACCCGAGACUCAGUGAAAUUGAAAUCGCUGUGAAGAUGCAGUGUAUCCGCGGCUAGACGGAAAGACCCCGUGAACCUUUACUAUAGCUUUGCACUGGACUUUGAAUUUGCUUGUGUAGGAUAGGUGGGAGGCUUUGAAGCGUGGACGCCAGUUCGCGUGGAGCCAACCUUGAAAUACCACCCUGGCAACUUUGAGGUUCUAACUCAGGUCCGUUAUCCGGAUCGAGGACAGUGUAUGGUGGGUAGUUUGACUGGGGCGGUCUCCUCCUAAAGAGUAACGGAGGAGUACGAAGGUGCGCUCAGACCGGUCGGAAAUCGGUCGUAGAGUAUAAAGGCAAAAGCGCGCUUGACUGCGAGACAGACACGUCGAGCAGGUACGAAAGUAGGUCUUAGUGAUCCGGUGGUUCUGUAUGGAAGGGCCAUCGCUCAACGGAUAAAAGCUACCCUGGGGAUAACAGGCUUAUCUCCCCCAAGAGUUCACAUCGACGGGGAGGUUUGGUACCUCGAUGUCGGCUCAUCGCAUCCUGGGGCUGUAGUCGGUCCCAAGGGUUGGGCUGUUCGCCCAUUAAAGCGGUACGUGAGCUGGGUUCAGAACGUCGCGAGACAGUUUGGUCCCUAUCUGCCGUGGGCGUCGAAAUUUGAGAGGAGUUGACCCUAGUACGAG
rnacentral:rRNA from 1 species